GAUGAAGAACGCAGCGAAAUGCGAUACUUAGUGUGAAUUGCAGAAUCCCGUGAACCAUCGAGUCUUUGAACGCAAGUUGCGCCCGAAGCCACUAGGCCGAGGGCACGCCUGCCUGGGCGUCACACGCCGUUGCCCCCCCAUCUACUCCUUCGGGAUUGCGGGGGGGCGGAUGAUGGCCUCCUGUGCGCCUAGCCGCGCGGUUGGCAUAAAUACCAAGUCCUCGGCGACGCACGCCACGACAAUCGGUGGUUGCGAAACCUCGGUUGCCCGUCGUGUGCGUUCGUCGCGCAUCGAGGGCUCGAAAAAAUGCUCGGCUCCGGCUGGGCUUUCAACGCGACCCCAGGUCAGGCGGGGUUACCCGCUGAAUUUAAGCAUAUCAAUAAGCGGAGGA
rnacentral:misc_RNA from 1 species